UGUGACUUGUUACGCAGCGCAGCGUGUGGA
rnacentral:piRNA from 1 species